AUCUCUAUGACAAGAACUUAAAGGAAAAAAAAAACACAAAUGCCAAUUCCGACCUAUUCAAAUUCCUCGAGCACAAAUCAUCAUCCUUCAAUUUCACAUUCUAAAGAAUUUAAAUCCUUUCAAGUGCGGUUUUUGAAACCCAAAACCUUCCAGACCCAGAAAAAAAUAAACAAAUAUAUAGAGAUGUUUAUAUGUUUCUUGAAAAAUAGAUGCUUUAAAGGAGAAUAUGCAGCGAGAAUAGUACCUGAGUUAGAAUCAGAAAUGGGGUUUUGUGUACUUUGAAGACGAAUAAACUAAAAGAACUUAGCUUUGCAGCAAAUCUGAAAGUUAAAAAAGAAGCUUCUUUCUUCUUUUUGUUGAUGGAGUUUUGACCAAUAAUUUCCAAAUGCGUGUUUUGUGUGAGAUGUGUGUUGGGGGUAGGGAGAAUACAAAAGUAGAGUAGCUUCCUCUCUCCAUACGAGUUAGCUUUGACAAGCUUUAUCUCUCUAACUUUGAUGGCGGCGGGCCAUAUGGGGCCCGGGCUUGCAUUUUUCUCUCGGAUUUCGGGAUUAUGUUCAGCAAGAAAGCGAAACGCUCAUUAU
rnacentral:lncRNA from 1 species